rnacentral:rRNA from 1 species
UACGGGGGGGGGCAAGCGUUGUUCGGAAUUACUGGGCGUAAAGGGCUCGUAGGCGGCCUGUUAAGUCGAACGUGAAAUCCCCCGGGGCUCAACCCGGGAACUGCGUCCGAUACUGGCAGGCUUGAAUUCGGGAGAGGGAUGUGGAAUUCCAGGUGUAGCGGUGAAAUGCGUAGAUAUCUGGAGGAAUACCGGUGGCGAAGGCGGCGAUCCUGGCCGGC